CAGAGACUGCAAGCGUUAUUCGGAUUCACUGGGCGUAAAGGGUGCGCAGGCGGCCAUGUGUGUCAGGUGUGAAAGCCCGGGGCUUAACCCCGGAAUUGCGCCUGAAACUACGUGGCUAGAGCAUUGGAGAGGGUAGCGGAAUUCACGGUGUAGCAGUGAAAUGCGCAGAUAUCGUGAGGAACACCAGAGGCGAAGGCGGCUACCUGGACAAUUGCUGACGCUCAGGCACGAAAGCGUGGGGAGCAAAAGGGAUUAGAUACCCCUGUAGUCCACGCCCUAAACGGUGCACACUAGGUCUUGGCGGAUUCGACCCCCCCAGGGCCCAAGCUAACGCGUUAAGUGUGCCGCCUGAGGACUACGGCCGCAAGGCUA
rnacentral:rRNA from 1 species